rnacentral:lncRNA from 1 species
GGAGUAGAUUCCCCAGCUACUCAAAAAUUUUGAGGAACCCUGGUUUGUCAUAUUACCUAAGUUAGUAGAAGUUUACUAGAAUUCUGGGCUCAUUUACUUGAAUCCCCCCAUUCUCUUUUACAUAAUCAGCUGACCCAAAAGCACUUUUGACCCUGCUCCUUGUCUUGCUUAUCCCAUCUCUAUGGCAACCCAAAGACCCGCCCUUGUGACAUAAGAGCCUAUUUCCUCCUCUCUUAUGCUGGCAUUCUUAGGGAAGGAGAUGUUGUUGACCUAGAAACCCUACAUGGAGCACUAUGGUCGUCUUCUGGAUGGAAAAAAAAAAACCCAGGAGAUUUCCCUCCAGUUUUUCGGUUAUUCCACACCUCCUAACAGCUCUCCCCAUUCUCCUUCCCUUAAAGGAUAUUGACAUGAAGAGAGCCAUUUUGGGUUCAUCUACCGCACAUGAUAUGGAUAUUUUCACCUCCAAACAAGCAUGUGAUCUUGGAAGACCAUGAUUCAGCAAAGGCCAUUCAUUCCCAUGGAAUCUGCCCUCCUGAAAACAGUCCCAGCUUCUUUGGGAGUGAUUCACAAGCCAACAGUACAAAAAAAAUCUCCCUGCUAAAGCAAGAUGGGAGAUGUGACUAAGCGGACAGCUUUGCUUUUUGAAUUAACUCAGUGGGAAGAGGGAGGGGAGAAUCACUUGUCAAUGUUCUCAAACAACAUUGCAAAAUGUGGAAAGAAAGAACCAUCCAGGAGCUUAUGUGCCAAGCCUUCAGAAACACCAAAGGCUCUUGGGGACUCAGGAGCUAAAUUCUGUGGAAGCAUCUGGAGAAAGUAUUACACUAAGCUGGGGGAAGCAUUCAGACCACCUGCACUUCACAGCAACGUGAAGAUGUUUCAUUCCCUGCCAAUUUGCAAGGGUGAUGCAUCAAGGGGCUUCGCUGAUGAGGAGGUCAACAGAGACAUUCCUGUGAUGAUCACCUUUCAGUCUCCAUCAGGCUGCUGGCAGCUUUUCAUUUAUUUUCAGCUGUAAGUCUUCUCACCAACCGUUCGGGGCUAUUCUCAGUGAAGCCACACAUAAUUGCUCUACAUAUGAGAUUCCAACUGACACUGAAAACACAUCUGACUGUGAACCCCAUUAUAUAUUUCUAAUAAGCCCUGUAGCUGCCUCUUUGUCUUUUUCCCGCCAGUAUUUGUUUUACAGCAAUACGUGCAGACUAUAAAGCAAUAAACAGAAGAGAAGGUAGAGAAGGAAGAUAACU